AACAAAGUAACGAAAAGGCUGACAACAAAUACGCAUUUACUCUAAUAAUAAAAUUUACUCUGAAAAUCGUCAUUCUUAUUAAUGCCAGUAAGUUUAUAUUACUAUACGAGCGAUUAUAUAUCAUGAGUUUUUAAUAUAUGUACUUUAUUUAAUUUAAAAUAUAUGAUUUUCAUGUCAAAUUAUUAGUGUUUUGCCCCUGUACAUCAUACUUCUCCUCUCAGCAAAGGAGCCAUGCCGGUCAUCUAUUAACUACUUUCGAGGGAAAAUGUUUGAAUUGAAAUAACGUGACUUCCGGUUUGCAACGGAAAUUCAAUUAUAUAGUUACUCUGGCUUUUUACACCUAGUGUUUCCAAACCUUGUCUCUUCUGUUAUCUUUCUAGUUCCGUUCUCGACAUUAAGGAAAGACAGUCAGACGGACGACAGUGGAAAUGCGUGAAUGAAUUUUUUUUAAUUACAGCAUAAUUAUAUAUUUAUAUGCAUUUAAUAUAUUUGUCUCCUCUGUUUUCAACGCUUAAAAUCUCUAUAAAUAUAUCGCUGUAUGUAAUAUACUGUAUAUUAUUUUAAUUAACGAUAUAAAAACCAGUUUGUACGUUUUUCGAGGGAAAUGAAGAAGAUAUCGUGUAAGUGAGAAAUGGCGCAAGUAAACCUGCUCCUCAAGUAGAUCGAGACACUAAUCAAUACUGUAUAAUACAUUCGAAUAGAAAAACGAAGCAGUAAAAUUAAGUCAUGUUGUUUUACAAAAUUGAUCAACCGAUCGACAAAUUCUGCUUCUGUAUAUAUAUAACAGCCCGGAAAGUAAAAAUAAUUCUGUGGAGUACCGAAAAAUAUGAGUUAUUUAAGCGAUUGCCCUACUCUAAACCUAUAGACAUAGACAGCCUGGGUGGCUGAGCGGUCAAGGCGACAGGCCACCGAUAUGGAACGACGAGGUGUCGAUCUGGACGAGGUCGAAAAAUUUCCAGGAAUAUUUCGUGGGGUGAUCCGACCUCGUCCCUUACCAUUCGAUCCCUCCAUUGUGGACCUAGCCGAACCCAUAAUAUGCUUGCCAGAAAAGGCCCUCUUAGUGCCCACAAGUCAGAGUUAAAAAAAAAAAAACCUGUUAACAAAACGAAAUAUAGAGUUCAAUCAUGAUUUGUGUGUACGUAAAUACACUGAAACGAUGUGUACGGUUAGGGAGAGGUCAUUUCACCAUCCCUCAUCCCAAUGUCAGAAAUAUAACCAAAAUAACAGCGUUUUUGUCAUAUAUUUGACACUGGCGUACAUCAGAAAGUUUAGAUUACAAUCUAAUUUUAAAUCAUUAUAAUCACUUUAUUCUUUAUCUUUACUAUAUAUUGAGAAAAAUGAAAAAUUAAUUUUUUUUUUUUCCAAUUGUCUUUAGGGAUGAAGUAUUCAUCAAGCUUCACACGUGGAGAAUAUAUACACUUUUACCUUUAAUUGCUGAUGUUAAUUUUUGAUAAUGUAAUCUGUGAAUAAAUAAUCUGUCUGUCUUA